rnacentral:rRNA from 1 species
GUGAGGAAUAUUGGUCAAUGGGCGGGAGCCUGAACCAGCCAAGUCGCGUGAAGGAAGAAGGAUCUAUGGUUCGUAAACUUCUUUUGCAGGGGAAUAAAGUGCAGGACGUGUCCUGUUUUGUAUGUACCCUGAGAAUAAGGAUCGGCUAACUCCGUGCCAGCAGCCGCGGUAAUACGGAGGCUCCGAGCGUUAUCCGGAUUUAUUGGGUUUAAAGGGUGCGUAGGUGGUUUGAUAAGUCAGCGGUGAAAGUUUGCAGCUUAACUGUAAAAAUGCCGUUGAAACUGUCGGACUUGAGUGUAAAUGAGGUAGGCGGAAUGCGUGGUGUAGCGGUGAAAUGCAUAGAUAUCACGCAGAACUCCGAUUGCGAAGGCAGCUUACUAAGCUACAACUGACACUGAAGCACGAAAGCGUGGGGAUCAAACAGGAUUAGAAACCCCGGUAGUCC